GACGAACGCUGGCGGCGUGCCUAAUACAUGCAAGUCGAGCGAAUCUUGAGGUGCUUGCACCUCUUGGUUAGCGGCGGACGGGUGAGUAACACGUGGGCAACCUGCCUGUAAGACUGGGAUAACUUCGGGAAACCGGAGCUAAUACCGGAUAAUCCUUUUCCUUUCAUGAGGAAAAGCUGAAAGUCGGUUUUUCGCUGACACUUACAGAUGGGCACGCGGCGCAUUAGCUAGUUGGUGAGGUAACGGCUCACCAAGGCGACGAUGCGUAGCCGACCGGGGAGGGUGAUCGGCCACACUGGGAUUGAGACACGGCCCAGACUCCUACGGGAGGCAGCAGUAGGGAAUCUUCCGCAAUGGACGAAAGUCUGACGGAGCAACGCCGCGUGAGCGAUGAAGGCCUUCGGGUCGUAAAGCUCUGUUGUUAGGGAAGAACAAGUAUCGGAGUAACUGCCGGUACCUUGACGGUACCUAACCAGAAAGCCACGGCUAACUACGUGCCAGCCGCCGCGGUAA
rnacentral:rRNA from 1 species